rnacentral:tRNA from 1 species
GUGCUAGUAGUAUAUUUAAGUAUUCUCUCUUUCCACGUGAGAGGUUUCAUUUUUUUGAAUUAGUAUA